ensembl:snoRNA SNORA70 Small nucleolar RNA SNORA70
CUGCAUCCAAUUAAGCUAAGUUCCUUUCCUCAUGGGGCCUGGUGUGCUCUGGCUGCAAACAGCAUCCUACCUGGGAGGCUGCUUGUAUGGGUUUCUCUAAGGGACCUUAGAAACAGAA